UACAGAGGUCUCAAGCGUUGUUCGGAUUCAUUGGGCGUAAAGGGUGCGUAGGCGGGCAGGUAAGUCAGUGGUGAAAUCCCCGGGCUUAACUUGGGACUGCCGUUGAUACUAUCUGUCUUGAAUAUCGUGGAGGUGAGCGGAAUAUGUCAUGUAGCGGUGAAAUGCUUAGAUAUGACAUAGAACACCCAUUGCGAAGGCAGCUCACUACACGAUAAUUGACGCUGAGGCACGAAAGCGUGGGGAGCAAACAGG
rnacentral:rRNA from 1 species